ACUUAAUAAUAGUGAUGAUUGGUAAACAACACCUUACCUGAAAGCAGAAAAAAAUUCUGUAGAGAAAAGUGGUAAAACUGAAAUUUAUUCUUCUAUGAAAGGGCAUUCUGGUCAGGAAAAAAUUAUUUGAAACCCAGUGGCCGUUUGAACCUCCCGAAGAAACCUCGAAACAAUCUUCAAUGCAACCAAUUCAACAAUUCCAAACACGGCCUAAAGAAACAGAAACGCAAAGGGGAUUUUGUGGCUGCGCCGGUGGGGGGUGUUUCUUGCGAAAGAAAUUACCGGAGAAUAUAAGAAGAGGGAUGGCGGGGUUGGCGGAGGCGGAGCAAAGCCGGGAGCAUCAGUUGCGUUUGUUGGAUUUUUUAUUAGCGGCUUUGAGGAAAUCUAUGGUGUACUGUCGUUUUGAUCAAAAGGAGGAGGUGAAAUCAACUGUUCAUACUAUGGAAAUCGGUUGGCCUACGAAUGUUCAGCAUCUUACUCAUGUCACUUUCGAUCGCUUUCAUGGGUUUUUGGGUCUUCCUGUUGAGUUUGAAGUUGAAAUCCCUUGUAAAGCACCAAGUGCCAGUGUCAGCGUUUUUGGCAUCUCCGCAGAGUCAAUGCAGUGUUCAUAUGAUACAAGAGGCAACAGUGUCCCGACUAUUCUCUUGUUAAUGAAGGAACGUUUAUACUCACAAGAUGGUCUAAAGGCUGAAGGAAUUUUCCGAAUAAACCCAGAGAAUAGCCAUGAAGAGUAUGUAAGGGACCAGCUCAACAGAGGCAUUGUGCCUGACGACAUAAAUGUCCACUGUUUGGCUGGACUCAUCAAAGCUUGGUUCCGAGAGCUUCCAGCAGGUGUGCUUGAUGGGCUUUCACCUGAGCAGGUAUUGCAAUGCAACACCGAGGAGGAAUUUAUUGAGCUUGUGAAACAGCUUAAGCCAACUGAGACCGCAUUGCUCAAGUGGGCAAUUGAUCUUAUGGCUGACGUUGUUGAGCAAGAGGAAACCAACAAGAUGAAUGCCAGAAACAUUGCUAUGGUUUUUGCCCCAAAUAUGACACAGAUGUCUGAUCCAUUAACGGCACUCAUGCACGCUGUUCAAGUGAUGAACUUACUGAAGACCCUGAUUGUGAAAACACUGCGAGAACGUGGAGAGACAGAAGGCGGAGGAUAUUCACCCAUGUCAUCUAGUUUCUCUGAUAGACAAACUGAGAAGGAAUUUGACGCCCAACAAGAGAUGGAGACUGGAUGUGAAUCAACAGGGCCAGCAUCAGAUGAUGAUGAACAACCUCAUUACAUCUACAACAGUGAAGACAGAGAUGAAAUCGAGUCAUUGAGUGAGAUAGAAGGAAGCUUCCUACAGCAAGUGGAUGAGAAUGAUCAUGCAAAAAAUGACUUCCGGAAACAACUACAAGGAAUUUUGUGUAGCGAACACAAACCCACGAGUGCCUCCACCGUUAAUGAAGAUCCUUCUUCAUCUAGUUGAUAAUAAAAACGGGAGUUCAGGCCUGAGCUCUAGUAACAGUAAAGACUCAAGAGCAACUUCUGUUUCUGUGGGGUUAAAGGUGCAAGCAGAUUAACUGGAGCACAAAUGAUGUCAAUAUAGUAAUGGUAAGUAAGAUGUGAACAUGGUAGAGUUUGCUGUUAUAUGUAGUUAGUUGGUUGUCUCAUCCAAGCUGGUGCGAUUGAAUCUAUUCCGGUGAUGCAUCUUUUAGGAGUUUCUAUAUCAUCAGUGAAUGGUUGUUUUAUGUAAAAAGUUGCUACGCUUAGUCUAGACACAGAAUGAUUUUCAUUUGUUUCA